rnacentral:rRNA from 1 species
AAUAUUGCGCAAUGGGGGGAACCCUGACGCAGCAACGCCGCGUGAGUGAAGAAGGCCUUCGGGUCGUAAAACUCUGUCAUAGGGGAAGAGUUAAGGAAGGGUGCCCCAUGAGGAAGCCCCGGGGAACUACGUGCCAGCAGCCGCGGUAAUACGUAGGGGGCAAGCGUUGUCCGGAAUUACUGGGCGUAAAGGGGGCGUACGCGGCCUGAUAAGUCAGAUGUGAAAUACCAGGGCUCAACCAUGGGGGUGCAUUUGAAACUGUUGGGCUUGAGUGCAGGAGAGGAAAGUGGAAUUCCUAGUGUAGCGGUGAAAUGCGUAGAGAUUAGGACGAACACCAGUGGCGAAGGCGACUUUCUGGACUGUAACUGACGCUGAGGCACGAAAGCGUGGGUAGCGAAC